rnacentral:lncRNA from 1 species
GGCCCGCGGCUCGGCUCUGCCAGUUCCUGCGCCACGGCUGGCCUGGGGGCGAGGUGGCCCAAAGGUGGAGCGCAGAAAGAAAGGAAACUUCUCUUCCAUCUACCCAGGAUGCAGCUUGGUCCCCUCCACGACCAGGGGGCGGCAACGGGGUCGGCGCUGAGUGCACAGAGACCCAUAUGCCUGGAUCCAAUCGCAUUGAAAACAACGUUGAAAAGAUCAGGCUAGAAGAGUUUCCGUCUGACUUCAGGCAGCUUUUUAAUGGACAAGUCUACCAAGUGCGAGGCUGAUGGAGAGAAUUCCAAAAGGUCUUGCUCUAGGGCAGACAGAAUGCCACUGGGCAGAGAGUGCCAUUAAAAAGGUUCAGCAGCCACACGUGCCCAC